AGGGGUAACAUAGAAAAGCUUGCUUUUCUGAUGACGACCGGCGCACGGGUGCGUAACGCGUAUACAACCUACCUUUUAGCGGGGAAUAGCCCAGGGAAACUUGGAUUAAUGCCCCAUAGUAUAUAAACUUCUCCUGAAGUUUAUAUUAAACAUUUAUGGCUAUUAGAUGGGUAUGCGUCCUAUUAGUUAGUUGGUAAGGUAACGGCUUACCAAGGCAGCGAUAGGUAGGGGUCCUGAGAGGGAGAUCCCCCACACUGGUACUGAGACACGGACCAGACUCCUACGGGAGGCAGCAGUGAGGAAUAUUGGACAAUGGGCGAGAGCCUGAUCCAGCCAUGCCGCGUGCAGGAAGACUGCCCUAUGGGUUGUAAACUGCUUUUACAGAGGAAGAACCACCCCCACGUGUGGGGGUUUGACGGUACUCUGCGAAUAAGGAUCGGCUAACUCCGUGCCAGCAGCCGCGGUAAUACGGAGGAUCCAAGCGUUAUCCGGAAUCAUUGGGUUUAAAGGGUCCGUAGGCGGGCAGUUAAGUCAGUGGUGAAAGUCUUCCGCUCAACGGGAGAACUGCCAUUGAUACUGAUUGUCUUGAGUUAUUAUGAAGUGGUUAGAAUGAGUAGUGUAGCGGUGAAAUGCAUAGAUAUUACUCAGAAUACCGAUUGCGAAGGCAGAUCACUAAUAAUAUACUGACGCUGAUGGACGAAAGCGUAGGUAGCGAACAGGAUUAGAUACCCUGGUAGUCUACGCCGUAAACGAUGGUUACUAGCUGUUCGGCCCAAUUGAGGGCUGAGUGGUUAAGCGAAAGUGAUAAGUAACCCACCUGGGGAGUACGUUCGCAAGAAUGAAACUCAAAGGAAUUGACGGGGGCCCGCACAAGCGGUGGAGCAUGUGGUUUAAUUCGAUGAUACGCGAGGAACCUUACCAGGGCUUAAAUGUAGUCUGACAGGUCUGGAAACAGACUUUUCUUCGGACAGAUUACAAGGUGCUGCAUGGUUGUCGUCAGCUCGUGCCGUGAGGUGUCAGGUUAAGUCCUAUAACGAGCGCAACCCCUGUGGUUAGUUGCCAGCGAGUAAUGUCGGGAACUCUAGCCAGACUGCCGGUGCAAACCGCGAGGAAGGUGGGGAUGACGUCAAAUCAUCACGGCCCUUACGUCCUGGGCCACACACGUGCUACAAUGGUAGGGACAGAGAGCAGCCACUUCGCGAGAAGGAGCGAAUCUACAAACCCUAUCACAGUUCGGAUCGCAGUCUGCAACUCGACUGCGUGAAGCUGGAAUCGCUAGUAAUCGCAUAUCAGCCAUGAUGCGGUGAAUACGUUCCCGGGCCUUGUACACACCGCCCGUCAAGCCAUGGAAGCCGGGGGUACCUGAAGUCGGUCACCGC
rnacentral:rRNA from 1 species